UAGGGAAUCUUGCGCAAUGGGCGAAAGCCUGACGCAGCCAUGCCGCGUGAAUGAUGAAGGUCUUAGGAUUGUAAAAUUCUUUCACCGGGGACGAUAAUGACGGUACCCGGAGAAGAAGCCCCGGCUAACUUCGUGCCAG
rnacentral:rRNA from 1 species